rnacentral:rRNA from 1 species
UUAAGCGACUAAGCGUACACGGUGGAUGCCCUGGCAGUCAGAGGCGAUGAAGGACGUGCUAAUCUGCGAUAAGCGUCGGUAAGGUGAUAUGAACCGUUAUAACCGGCGAUUUCCGAAUGGGGAAACCCAGUGUGAUUCGUCACACUAUCAUUAACUGAAUCCAUAGGUUAAUGAGGCGAACCGGGGGAACUGAAACAUCUAAGUACCCCGAGGAAAAGAAAUCAACCGAGAUUCCCCCAGUAGCGGCGAGCGAACGGGGAGCAGCCCAGAGCCUGAAUCAGUGUGUGUGUUAGUGGAAGCGUCUGGAAAGGCGCGCGAUACAGGGUGACAGCCCCGUACACAAAAAUGCACAUAUUGUGAGCUCGAUGAGUAGGGCGGGACACGUGGUAUCCUGUCUGAAUAUGGGGGGGCCAUCCUCCAAGGCUAAAUACUCCUGGCUGACCGAUAGUGAACCAGUACCGUGAGGGAAAGGCGAAAAGAACCCCGGCGAGGGGAGUGAAAAAGAACCUGAAACCGUGUACGUACAAGCAGUGGGAGCACGCUUAGGCGUGUGACUGCGUACCUUUUGUAUAAUGGGUCAGCGACUUAUAUUCUGUAGCAAGGUUAACCGAAUAGGGGAGCCGAAGGGAAACCGAGUCUUAACUGGGCGUUAAGUUGCAGGGUAUAGACCCGAAACCCGGUGAUCUAGCCAUGGGCAGGUUGAAGGCUGGGUAACACUAACUGGAGGACCGAACCGACUAAUGUUGAAGAAUUAGCGGAUGACUUGUGGCUGGGGGUGAAAGGCCAAUCAAACCGGGAGAUAGCUGGUUCUCCCCGAAAGCUAUUUAGGUAGCGCCUCGUGAAUUCAUCGUCCGGGGGUAGAGCACUGUUUCGGCAAGGGGGUCAUCCCGACUUACCAACCCGAUGCAAACUGCGAAUACCGGAGAAUGUUAUCACGGGAGACACACGGCGGGUGCUAACGUCCGUCGUGAAGAGGGAAACAACCCAGACCGCCAGCUAAGGUCCCAAAGUCAUGGUUAAGUGGGAAACGAUGUGGGAAGGCCCAGACAGCCAGGAUGUUGGCUUAGAAGCAGCCAUCAUUUAAAGAAAGCGUAAUAGCUCACUGGUCGAGUCGGCCUGCGCGGAAGAUGUAACGGGGCUAAACCAUGCACCGAAGCUGCGGCAGCGACGCUUAUGCGUUGUUGGGUAGGGGAGCGUUCUGUAAGCCUGCGAAGGUGUGCUGUGAGGCAUGCUGGAGGUAUCAGAAGUGCGAAUGCUGACAUAAGUAACGAUAAAGCGGGUGAAAAGCCCGCUCGCCGGAAGACCAAGGGUUCCUGUCCAACGUUAAUCGGGGCAGGGUGAGUCGACCCCUAAGGCGAGGCCGAAAGGCGUAGUCGAUGGGAAACAGGUUAAUAUUCCUGUACUUGGUGUUACUGCGAAGGGGGGACGGAGAAGGCUAUGUUGGCCGGGCGACGGUUGUCCCGGUUUAAGCGUGUAGGCUGGUUUUCCAGGCAAAUCCGGAAAAUCAAGGCUGAGGCGUGAUGACGAGGCACUACGGUGCUGAAGCAACAAAUGCCCUGCUUCCAGGAAAAGCCUCUAAGCAUCAGGUAACAUCAAAUCGUACCCCAAACCGACACAGGUGGUCAGGUAGAGAAUACCAAGGCGCUUGAGAGAACUCGGGUGAAGGAACUAGGCAAAAUGGUGCCGUAACUUCGGGAGAAGGCACGCUGAUAUGUAGGUGAAGUCCCUUGCGGAUGGAGCUGAAAUCAGUCGAAGAUACCAGCUGGCUGCAACUGUUUAUUAAAAACACAGCACUGUGCAAACACGAAAGUGGACGUAUACGGUGUGACGCCUGCCCGGUGCCGGAAGGUUAAUUGAUGGGGUCAGCGCAAGCGAAGCUCUUGAUCGAAGCCCCGGUAAACGGCGGCCGUAACUAUAACGGUCCUAAGGUAGCGAAAUUCCUUGUCGGGUAAGUUCCGACCUGCACGAAUGGCGUAAUGAUGGCCAGGCUGUCUCCACCCGAGACUCAGUGAAAUUGAACUCGCUGUGAAGAUGCAGUGUACCCGCGGCAAGACGGAAAGACCCCGUGAACCUUUACUAUAGCUUGACACUGAACAUUGAGCCUUGAUGUGUAGGAUAGGUGGGAGGCUUUGAAGUGUGGACGCCAGUCUGCAUGGAGCCGGCCUUGAAAUACCACCCUUUAAUGUUUGAUGUUCUAACGUGGACCCGUGAUCCGGGUUGCGGACAGUGUCUGGUGGGUAGUUUGACUGGGGCGGUCUCCUCCUAAAGAGUAACGGAGGAGCACGAAGGUUGGCUAAUCCUGGUCGGACAUCAGGAGGUUAGUGCAAUGGCAUAAGCCAGCUUGACUGCGAGCGUGACGGCGCGAGCAGGUGCGAAAGCAGGUCAUAGUGAUCCGGUGGUUCUGAAUGGAAGGGCCAUCGCUCAACGGAUAAAAGGUACUCCGGGGAUAACAGGCUGAUACCGCCCAAGAGUUCAUAUCGACGGCGGUGUUUGGCACCUCGAUGUCGGCUCAUCACAUCCUGGGGCUGAAGUAGGUCCCAAGGGUAUGGCUGUUCGCCAUUUAAAGUGGUACGCGAGCUGGGUUUAGAACGUCGUGAGACAGUUCGGUCCCUAUCUGCCGUGGGCGCUGGAGAACUGAGGGGGGCUGCUCCUAGUACGAGAGGACCGGAGUGGACGCAUCACUGGUGUUCGGGUUGUCAUGCCAAUGGCACUGCCCGGUAGCUAAAUGCGGAAGAGAUAAGUGCUGAAAGCAUCUAAGCACGAAACUUGCCCCGAGAUGAGUUCUCCCUGACCCUUUAAGGGUCCUGAAGGAACGUUGAAGACGACGACGUUGAUAGGCCGGGUGUGUAAGCGCAGCGAUGCGUUGAGCUAACCGGUACUAAUGAACCGUGAGGCUUAACCUU